ACAUACCAGUGAUGUUUCAGUGCAUUAUACAGCAGAAGAACGAUUGGAUUCACUCCUACAACACAGAAAAUAAAGACGUAUUUCCAGGUAAGGAGUAUUUUUAUAAAGCUUCAUUUCGCCCGUAAGUAAUUCUAUAAUAUCAGUAGAACAACUAAAAUUGACAGACUUAAAUUAAUUAAAAAAAUUGACAACCAAAGAAUUUUGUGUUAUAGAACGAAAUACUAUCAUCAACGAAACCAGAAAAACAUUAAUUUGAAUGUCAAUACAGUUAUAGUUAUACGGUUUUCUAUUAAAAGAAGAUAAAGAAAAUACCGUGAAAUAAUUAAUACAGAAAUACAUUAAAAUCAAAAAA
rnacentral:lncRNA from 1 species